CCAGGCGUUGCCAAGUGUGGACGAGUCUGAAGGUUCAUCUUCUACUGGUGAUGAGGAGGGGCCUGAAGAUAAAGAAGAAAACAUCUCAUAAGCGACACAACCAAAGAUUCAUCGCAGUGGUUUCAGCCAUUCUAUGAGCACCUUCGCCACGGAUGCAUUCAACCCGGUCAUCGUUAACGGUCACGUUGCCGAACGAAUCCGCAUGCUGAUGUGUUUGUGCACCACACCCACGGACGUGAUCCCAUCAUAGUUAACUCUGCAUGUCACCUUUACUCGCUGCAGCCACAAGGUGACGAUGGGUUCACAGCACUGUUUCCCCCCAUCGAAGAAGCAGCGGAUGGUAUUUCUUCCACCAGCACACUACCCAAUCUGUAAGCCAUCGACCAGUAUGGUGAACAGGCACAUCGCCAUGGAGGGGUGGACGACAAACUUCCCCACUGUAGACGAGAUGUUGAAGCUGUGGAAGCCAACCUCUGCUCAAGCUUGCAGCUGAGGGAAAUGUGAAGAUGGAGGCCACGACUGACCAGGCUUCCUACAUGUUGUUUUUUUAAAACGGGGAUAAGCACCUCUGCAUCGAUGCCCAAGCCCCUCGGUGCAAGUGCCAUCCCGACACAGAGACAGUGGGGCGGUUAACGCAGCUGACGUCAUCUUCUUCAAGGUCCGCAAAAACAUUGAGGUGAACGAGGAACUUAAGUUUGACUAUGGGGUCAGACUGAGGUCUUUCAGGGGAGAGGGCCUGUCACUGCUGUGGUUGGAUGAGUGAGCGGCUCAUCCUUGCAGUCCCCAUUGCAGCCACAGCCUCGGACGAGGACACACGUCAACACAAGGGAUUUUGUCUGCACUUUUUUCCCCCCUCUUUUUUGUUAUUUCAUUUAUUUACUGUAUAUGUGUUUGGGUUUUUUUUCUUCCAAUUGUUGCCGAUUGUUUGGUGUCAUAUUGUGGCAAUAAUCGGCUUUGAUUCUACAGACUGCAUUGGUCCGCGUGUUCACUGACUGAGCAAGAGCUUGUAAUGUUGUCCGAUGUCACCUUUCCCUAUUUCCUCGUUCAUAUCUUAGUUCCCCUACAAAGUGCAGUGUGAAAAAACAAUAGAAACAAUGAUCACCCAAUUCAACUGCAGCCAGGAGAAGGGCAAAAACAUAGACAAUGUUUCUUAUGUAGUUUCUUUAUGUCUCCCAUGCGUCCCUUGGUCUGUGUAGGUACACGUUUGUAACAGCAGGUGGCAGAGUUGUCCCAAUUUCUGGUGGAUUUAAAUCAAACCUUGUCAUGCGUACUCAAUGUCCACCAACCCACCAGAAUGUGUACUACUCGCCUCUGUGCACGUUAUAUUUUUUUUAUUAUGUCAGCAAUUUACAAUGCCUCCCUUUCCUGAACAGCAUCAAUUGUGGUUGAUGGUUUAGUAAUAACAAUGUCCUUACUUGUUCCCCGUACGUGCAACAUGUCAAUCAUUACGUCACUGGUUCGGGCUGUGUACUUUUCUCUCGCAUGGCAGUAAGUUUGGCACGCCCAUUUUGGUUAUGUGACGUGCGCUUUUCGGUGGCUUUUUUUCCAACAAGAGGUGACUAAAGCCGGAGUGUCCCCAUUCAGGUAAGAAGUCAGGAAUGAGCAUUUAUCAUUUGAAAUUAUUUACAAUGAUUAACUGAGACACCUUGAACUGGUACAAAACAACUGCGAGGGUUAACAUGAACACUAAAACGGCUCCUUGAGUGA